UUUUAUUUGAGAUCUUUUUAAUUUUAUUAAAGUCAUGAGUUAUUAAUUGAUCUUAUCUUACCAUCCCACUUGCAUUAUUUAAUUAUUUUUGACUAAAUAUCUCAUAAUCCUCAUCCAUGCUUUUUCUUUUCUCUCUCUUAUCCACUUGCAAGCUUUAAACUUCUCUGAUAAGCUAACUUCUCUCUUAAGCAUAAAUUUCCUAAUUCCCUUUCUCACCCCUUUCUCACCUUCACCCUCGGCUAAAAAAACAAAAGAGGAAAGAAACUCCAAAUUAGCUUCCAUUUCCAAAAUCAGUUCCGGAUCUCAAGUCUCGACU
rnacentral:lncRNA from 1 species